UAUAUAUAUAUAUAAUCGACGAAUAUACUCAAUGUAACAGAUAACAGAGGAAUGCUACUGGUGACUAAAAUUAGUCAAAUUUUAUACAAUCUAUUCUUAAGUAAUAGUUCUUGUUGAUAAUUUACUGUUAUAUAACUACUAUUGAUAUGGGAUAAUUAUUCUGAAGAAUCAUUAUGAAGAGGUCAUUAUGAGGUCAUUAUUUACGUCAUACAUAUAUGUUUAUUCUUAAGGUAUGGAGAGAAUUUGAAGAGGUAUUACAAAGAACUUUAUUUGAAUAUUCACAUAACUUUGCUCGCCACAUGAGUUACUCGCCGGAGGCCUAAGGCACGAGAUUUCACACUGCGCAUUGCUCUCUUUUCUCAACGGAGGCCUAGACCACCAUACGACGCUUACGCACAUACUAGGGAGAGGAUACAUAUUUGUUUGUGUUUUCGCUCUAGGUUC
rnacentral:misc_RNA from 1 species